rnacentral:rRNA from 1 species
AGGGAUUGCCUCAGUAACGGCGAGUGAAGCGGCAACAGCUCAAAUUUGAAAUCUGGCUCCUUCGGGGUCCGAGUUGUAAUUUGCAGAGGAUGCGUCGGGUACGGGUCCCUACCGAGUUCCCUGGAACGGGACGCCAUAGAGGGUGAGAGCCCCGUCUGGUAGGAUACCCAGCCCAUGUGACGCUCCCUCGACGAGUCGAGUAGUUUGGGAAUGCUGCUCUAACGGGAGGUAUACUCCUUCCAAAGCUAAAUACCGGCUGGAGACCGAUAGCGCACAAGUAGAGUGAUCGAAAGAUGAAAAGCACUUUGAAAAGAGAGUCAAACAGCACGUGAAAUUGUUAAAAGGGAAGCACUCGCUACCAGACUUGGGUUCGGCGGUUCAACCGGGGCCACGCCCCGGGGCAUUCCGCCGGCUCAGGCCAGCAUCAGCUUUCCGUCGGGGGCAAAGACGUCGGGAAUGUAGCUCCUCCUCGGGGGAGUGUUAUAGCCCGGCGUGUCAUACCCUUCGGGGGGCUGAGGUACGCGCUUCUGCAAGGAUGCUGGCGUAAUGGUAGCUAGUGACCCGUCUUGAACAACCGACCAA